rnacentral:rRNA from 1 species
UGGGGAAUUUUGGACAAUGGGCGCAAGCCUGAUCCAGCCAUGCCGCGUGCGGGAAGAAGGCCUUCGGGUUGUAAACCGCUUUUGUCAGGGAAGAAAUCUUCUGAGUUAAUACCUCGGGAGGAUGACGGUACCUGAAGAAUAAGCACCGGCUAACUACGUGCCAGCAGCCGCGGUAAUACGUAGGGUGCAAGCGUUAAUCGGAAUUACUGGGCGUAAAGCGUGCGCAGGCGGUUUUGUAAGACAGAGGUGAAAUCCCCGGGCUCAACCUGGGAACUGCCUUUGUGACUGCAAGGCUUGAGUGCGGCAGAGGGGGGAUGGAAUUCCGCGUGUAGCAGUGAAAUGCGUAGAUAUGCGGAGGAACACCGAUGGCGAAGGCGAUCCCCUGGGCCUGCACUGACGCUCAUGCACGAAAGCGUGGGGAGCAAACAGGAUUAGAUACCCUGGUAGUCCACGCCCUAAACGAUGUCAACUGGUUGUUGGGAAGGUUCCUUCUCAGUAACGUAGCUAACGCGUGAAGUUGACCGCCUGGGGAGUACGGCCGCAAGGUU